rnacentral:rRNA from 1 species
GGGGAAUAUUGCGCAAUGGGCGAAAGCCUGACGCAGCGACGCCGCGUGAGGGAUGAAGGUUCUCGGAUCGUAAACCUCUGUCAGAAGGGAAGAAACCGCACCGUGCUAAUCAGCGGUGCAUUGACGGUACCUUCAAAGGAAGCACCGGCUAACUCCGUGCCAGCAGCCGCGGUAAUACGGAGGGUGCAAGCGUUAAUCGGAAUUACUGGGCGUAAAGCGCACGUAGGCGGCUUUGUAAGUCAGGGGUGAAAUCCCACGGCUCAACCGUGGAACUGCCUUUGAUACUGGAAGUCUUGAGUCUGGCAGAGGUGAGUGGAACUGCGAGUGUAGAGGUGAAAUUCGUAGAUAUUCGCAAGAACACCAGUGGCGAAGGCGGCUCACUGGGCCAUUACUGACGCUGAGGCACGAAAGCGUGGGGAGCAAACA